rnacentral:rRNA from 1 species
GACGAACGUUGGCGGCGUGCCUAACAUAUGCAAGUCGAGCGAGGCUUCGAUCCGCUCGUCUGGCGGCUGAGUAACACGUUAGUAACUACCUAAAACUCAGGGAUACUGCCGACAAAUCGGUGCUAAUACCGGAUAGGCCUGGCAAAGUAAAGUUUUUCCGGGUUGAGAGGUUCCUGCGUCCUAUCAGGUUGUUGGUGAGGGAACGGCUUGCCAAGCCUAUGACGGGUAACUGGUCUGAGAGGAUGACCAGUCAGAGGGAAACUGAGACACGGUUCCCACGUCGAAGGAAGGCAGCAGUAAAGAAUCUUCAACAAUGGACGAAAGUCUGAUGGAGCGACCCCGCGUGCAGGAUGCAGGCCCUGGGGGCGUAAACUGCUUGUUUGGGGGAAAAAUUCUGAUUGUACCCUAAGAAUAAGCACCGGCAAAUUACGUG